AUGUGUGUGUGUUUUUGUUUGUCAGCAUCUACCCCUCUUUCUUUUUCUUCCUCUUUCUCUUUCUCUCCCCAAUUUCUCUCUCUCUCUCUUUUAACAUCUGUUUGUCUCUCUCUCACUCGCUCUAUCCCUCUUUUCCCUCUCUCUCUCCUCUCUCCCCUUCACUUGCUCCCUCUCCUUCACUCACUCAGUCUCUUUCCUUGCCUCCCCCUUUCCUCUCUCUCUCUGAUUUCCUCCAGCCCGUUGGAGUUGCUGUGGCACUCUCUAGAUGAGUGGUUGGUGUUGAUCUCCACAGAGCUGGAGAAGAGAAGGGGAAGGGCCCUUCCAACUCCUCAUCCUCGGAGCGAGAUCGCCUCUCUUCUCCUCAAACAACUUGACGAUGUCGCCUCCGCCUCCCUCUUGCCGUCUGCACCGUCGCUGCCACCCUCCAUGCCCCUACCCCCCUUUCUGGACCCAAAGAAUGACGUCUCCUCGCUUCAUAGAGUUUGUCUGCAAGCAUGACGAGGUUCUCAAAUGUUUCAUAACCAGGAAUCCAAAGAUCAUCUUUUCCACUUCCUGUUGGAAUGUCCGGAGCUAAUGUCCCGCUUCAUGCACAUAAUCAAAGGCCAGGUGAGACCUGUGAUUGGCUGGUCUAUCAGUCAACUUCCUGGUUGUGUAUCUGCUGUAGCUAGGACAUACAAGGGCCAAGACAACGUUCCCAUGGCCUCUUAUUUGCAUGCUAUGACAGCAGCUUUCUCUCCCCCUCCCUUUCUCUUUCUAUAUAUUCCCCUCUCUCUGCCUCUCUUUAUGUCCCCCUGUAGUUCUCCCUCAGGGGACUAUGUUGCGAGUGACUUUGAAACACCCGUGUCUUCCAGGCAGGAUCAUUUAACAACGUUAUUGCCAUGGCGAUAACACUUUUC
rnacentral:lncRNA from 13 species